rnacentral:tRNA from 1 species
GCUAGGAUGGUGUAGUGGUUUGAGUGUUGGACUACCACUCUGGAGACCUGGGUUUGAUUCCCCACUCUACCA